UCAUCUUCACCAAUCACCAAAAAUCUGACUUAAGUUAUUAAAACCCUAGCUUCAAACAAUUAGGUUUAGUCACUAAGCAAGUGCUCUGACUACCAUCAAACAUGCAAAUGACUGAUAAACAAAAAAAAGACAUAAAGCUAAAUAUGGGAAUGCCUCCCAAAAGAGCUUCUUUCUAGUUCUCGAGUCAUUCAGCUGGACUCGGUGAUAACUCCCUGCAU
rnacentral:lncRNA from 1 species